rnacentral:rRNA from 1 species
CUCGGCUCUCGCAUCGAUGAAGAACGUAGCGAAAUGCGAUACUUGGUGUGAAUUGCAGAAUCCCGUGAACCAUCGAGUCUUUGAACGCAAGUUGCGCCCCAAGCCUUCAGGCCGAGGGCACGUCUGCCUGGGUGUCACAAAUCGUCGUCCCAUCCUCUACGGA